GUCACUGUAGCGCAAUGGAUAGCACAUUGGACUUCUAAUCCAAAGGUUGUGGGUUUGAAACCCACCUGGUAUGGCU
rnacentral:tRNA from 1 species